rnacentral:rRNA from 1 species
CANAAGCGGAGGAAAAGAAACUAACAAGGAUUCCCCUAGUAGCGGCGAGCGAAGCGGGAAGAGCUCAAAUUUAUAAUCUGGCACUUUCAGUGUCCGAGUUGUAAUCUCUAGAAGUGUUUUCCGCGUUGGACCGCACACAAGUCUGUUGGAAUACAGCGGCACAGUGGUGACACCCCCGUACACGGUGCGGACGCCCAGCGCUUUGUGAUACACUUUCGAAGAGUCGAGUUGUUUGGGAAUGCAGCUCAAAUUGGGUGGUAAAUUCCAUCUAAAGCUAAAUAUUGGCGAGAGACCGAUAGCGAACAAGUACCGUGAGGGAAAGAUGAAAAGCACUUUGGAAAGAGAGGUAACAGUACGUGAAAUUGUUGGAAGGGAAACGCUUGAAGUCAGACUUGCUUGCCGGAGCUUGCUUCGGUUUGCAGGCCAGCAUCAGUUUUCCGGGGUGGAUAAUGGCGGUUAGAAGGUAGCAGCUUCAGCUGUGUUAUAGCUUUCCGCUGGAUACAUCCUGGGGGACUGAGGAACGCAGCGUGCUUUUAGCGGGGGUUUCGACCUCUUCACGCUUAGGAUGCUGG